UACGUAGGGUGCGAGCGUUGUCCGGAAUUACUGGGCGUAAAGAGCUCGUAGGUGGUUUGUCGCGUUGUUCGUGAAAUUCCCUGGCUUAACUGGGGCGUGCGGGCGAUACGGGCAGACUGGAGUACUGCAGGGGAGACUGGAAUUCCUGGUGUAGCGGUGGAAUGCGCAGAUAUCAGGAGGAACACCGGUGGCGAAGGCGGGUCUCUGGGCAGUAACUGACGCUGAGGAGCGAAAGCGUGGGGAGCGAACAGG
rnacentral:rRNA from 1 species